UUAACUGAAACCAAAGAAGAGGUAUAUUAUUGUUAAUAAUAUCAUUGAAUUAUCAAUUCCAGUUAAG
rnacentral:tRNA from 1 species